CAUUCUGCCUAUAGGGGAAGGAUGAGAAGCUUCGACUAAGGUUCGACUCGAGCGUCAGCGAGAGAGCGUCAGCGAGAGAGCGUCAGCGAGAGAGCGUCAGCGAGAGAGCGUCAGCGAGAGAGCGUCAGCGAGAGAGCGUUGCCGCAGGCAACGACCCGAAGGGUGAGGAGCUUUAGCUCCGAAUAAUCCUUCCCCCACCACCA
rnacentral:sRNA from 1 species